ACCCUAGAGAUAGGGCUUCUCCUUCGGGAGCAGAGUGACAGGUGGUGCAUGGUUGUCGUCAGCUCGUGUCGUGAGAUGUUGGGUUAAGUCCCGCAACGAGCGCAACCCUUGAUCUUAGUUGCCAUCAUUAAGUUGGGCACUCUAAGGUGACUGCCGGUGACAAACCGGAGGAAGGUGGGGAUGACGUCAAAUCAUCAUGCCCCUUAUGACCUGGGCUACACACGUGCUACAAUGGACGGUACAAAGAGCUGCAAGACCGCGAGGUGGAGCUAAUCUCAUAAAACCGUUCUCAGUUCGGAUUGUAGGCUGCAACUCGCCUACAUGAAGCUGGAAUCGCUAGUAAUCGCGGAUCAGCAUGCCGCGGUGAAUACGUUCCCGGGCCUUGUACACAACCGCCCGUA
rnacentral:rRNA from 1 species